UUUAUUUAUUAUAGAAAGUUGUUACUAAGGUGGUGCAUGACACAGUACCAUCGGGUCCUCAAACAGUAAUCAAUGGACCGCAG